GGCGGCAGGCUUAACACAUGCAAGUCGAGCGCCUCGCAAGAGGAGCGGCAGACGGGUGAGUAACGCGUGGGAAUCUACCCAUCUCUACGGAACAACUCCGGGAAACUGGAGCUAAUACCGUAUACGUCCUUCGGGAGAAAGAUUUAUCGGAGAUGGAUGAGCCCGCGUUGGAUUAGCUAGUUGGUGGGGUAAUGGCCUACCAAGGCGACGAUCCAUAGCUGGUCUGAGAGGAUGAUCAGCCACAUUGGGACUGAGACACGGCCCAAACUCCUACGGGAGGCAGCAGUGGGGAAUAUUGGACAAUGGGCGAAAGCCUGAUCCAGCCAUGCCGCGUGAGUGAUGAAGGCCCUAGGGUUGUAAAGCUCUUUCAACGGUGAAGAUAAUGACGGUAACCGUAGAAGAAGCCCCGGCUAACUUCGUGCCAGCAGCCGCGGUAAUACGAAGGGGGCUAGCGUUGUUCGGAAUUACUGGGCGUAAAGCGCACGUAGGCGGAUAUUUAAGUCAGGGGUGAAAUCCCGGGGCUCAACCCCGGAACUGCCUUUGAUACUGGGUAUCUCCAGUCCGA
rnacentral:rRNA from 1 species